rnacentral:snoRNA from 1 species
UGUCUCAAAAAAACACACCACAAGCUAUGUUCUUACACUGACUACAUAUAGAAAAAGGAAGCAAAGUAAACCCACCCCUACAUAUACCUCAGCCCAGGCCCUGUGCCUAGUCUGUAUUAUGAAUUGGGAGACAUAA